CCUGGUCAAAAUUCUGUGCAUAAGAGUACGAAUCAUAAGUAAACCUCAUCGAAGAAUUCGAGCAUGCGAAAACUCUCUUCUUUUCCUUCUUAAUCUUCUUCCAUAAUUGUGUCCAAAUGGGUGCUUUUGAUCGGCUCAUUGAUGGCAAACCAUUGUACCUUACGAACCGAUCAUAAUUUUGAGUACUCGAGUAGCUUCUAAGACAGCAAACUUCACCAUUGGUGCACCAUAUACCUGGCUCCAUUGUAUAAAGAUUUUAAUGUUUCUUGCUUCGACUCGAAAUGGAAUAUGUGUGUUUGUGCUCGGGUUUGAUCUAGCACGAAGUCGUAAGGAUAUGGGAUAAGAGAUGGAUCUAAGAACUUGUAGUUGGUUUUGAGUAGAAAGUAGGGUUCAAUAUAUGCAUGGAUUGGACAAUUUAUAGUAGAUAAUGACGCAACUUUAUGUGAUAUGAUCUGAUCUGAAUCAUCUGAUCUGAUUUUGUAGUGUCA
rnacentral:lncRNA from 1 species